GACGAACGCUGGCGGCGUGCUUAACACAUGCAAGUCGAACGGUAAGGCUCCAGCUUGCUGGGGUACACGAGUGGCGAACGGGUGAGUAACACGUGGGUGACCUGCCCUGCACUUCGGGAUAAGCCUGGGAAACUGGGUCUAAUACCGGAUAGGAUCGCACCGUGAGGGUGUGGUGGAAAGUUUUUUCGGUGUGGGAUGGGCCCGCGGCCUAUCAGCUUGUUGGUGGGGUAAUGGCCUACCAAGGCGGCGACGGGUAGCCGGCCUGAGAGGGUGGACGGCCACAUUGGGACUGAGACACGGCCCAGACUCCUACGGGAGGCAGCAGUGGGGAAUAUUGCACAAUGGGCGGAAGCCUGAUGCAGCGACGCCGCGUGGGGGAUGACGGCCUUCGGGUUGUAAACUCCUUUCACCAUCGACGAAGGGUUUCUGACGGUAGAUGGAGAAGAAGCACCGGCUAACUACGUGCCAGCAGCCGCGGUAAUACGUAGGGUGCGAGCGUUGUCCGGAAUUACUGGGCGUAAAGAGCUCGUAGGUGGUUUGUCGCGUCGUCUGUGAAAUUCCGGGGCUUAACUCCGGGCGUGCAGGCGAUACGGGCAUAACUUGAGUACUGUAGGGGAGACUGGAAUUCCUGGUGUAGCGGUGAAAUGCGCAGAUAUCAGGAGGAACACCGGUGGCGAAGGCGGGUCUCUGGGCAGUAACUGACGCUGAGGAGCGAAAGCAUGGGGAGCGAACAGG
rnacentral:rRNA from 1 species